AGUGAACGCUGGCGGUAGGCCUAACACAUGCAAGUCGAACGGCAGCACAGUAAGAGCUUGCUCUUACGGGUGGCGAGUGGCGGACGGGUGAGGAAUACAUCGGAAUCUACAUUUUCGUGGGGGAUAACGUAGGGAAACUUACGCUAAUACCGCAUACGACCUACGGGUGAAAGCAUGGGAUCUUCGGACCUUGCGCGAUUGAAUGAGCCGAUGUCGGAUUAGCUAGUUGGGGGGGUAAAGGCCCACCAAGGCGACGAUCCGUAGCGGGUCUGAGAGGAUGAUCAGCCACACUGGAACUGAGACACGGUCCAGACUCCUACGGGAGGCAGCAGUGGGGAAUAUUGGACAAUGGGCGCAAGCCUGAUCCAGCCAUACCGCGUGGGUGAAGAAGGCCUUCGGGUUGUAAAGCCCUUUUGUUGGGAAAGAAAAGCAGCAGGUUAAUACCCCGCUGUUCUGACGGUACCCAAAGAAUAAGCACCGGCUAACUUCGUG
rnacentral:rRNA from 1 species